GAAGAAGCCUAACUGGCAGUGAUUAGGUUUGGGCUGGGGAGUGAAUCCCCCCAAGGUUUUUGCUUAAAGUUCCAGGCUGUGGAGUAGGGGGGAGGGGGCAUUGCCCCAACACUUUUAAGCAGUGGACCUGCAUGACGUUAGGUACUAGGGUUGCCAGUAUUCCUGGAGGUUUCGUCAUAUGUCAUAAUGCUUAAUUAAAGAGUAUUCUUUAAUUCCUGGAGACUCCCGGACAAACCUGGAGGGUUGGCAACCCUAAUCAGUACAGCUGCUGCCAGAGCAGUCUGAAGGGUCGCUUCCACUGUAUGGUCACAACACUACUUAAAUUUGACCCAGCCACCUCUCCAUACAGAUUUUACCUCCUCCCAGAACUAUCUGAAGUGAUGUCACUGCUGUCUGUGGCCAGGAACUAACUAGAGACUGCUGCCUGCCAGAGCCCCCCCUGAAAGAAGGGGGAGAGCAUUUCUUCUCCAGAUCAAUCACAACACAAAAAGGGAAAAACAAAGCAGUUAACUGUACUUCAAGAAGAGGAAGGAGUACAGAGAUGAGGAAAAGAAAUGUGCACGGGGCUGGAAGGAGUGAUUUGUAAUGUAGGAUUCAGAGAGCUAAAUUAUUUCAGCCUGACCAUGGCAAAUACUUACCAGACAGAGACUGAAAAUGUUGCAUUGCAAAUGCAACCAGUAUUGACACAAGAAAGGUUCCCAUGAAAUAGAUCUGCAAUAAGUUUAGAAAUGUGUGUUAGAUCAAUACAAAGGUCGGGCGCUGGCUGUAACUGUGCUGAUAAAUGUGACAAUGGAAUAAUACAUACCAGAGUAAAAUGCAAAAUGUUAUUCCAGAAAACUCUUAAGUAAAAAUAAAGCAAAGCUAAUGAGCAUGGAUUAA